rnacentral:rRNA from 1 species
GGUGAACGCUGGCGGUAUGCUUAGCACAUGCAAGUCGAGCGAGAAUCGUUUUGCUGAAGGCUUCGGUCUGACGCAGAAUGAGGAAAGCGGCGAACGGGUGAGUAACGCGUGGGUAACCUGCCUUGUACUGGGGGAUAGCAGCUGGAAACGGCUGGUAAUACCGCAUAAGCGCACAAUGUUGCAUGACAUGGUGUGAAAAACUCCGGUGGUAUAAGAUGGACCCGCGUCUGAUUAGCUAGUUGGUGAGAUAACAGCACACCAAGGCGACGAUCAGUAGCCGACCUGAGAGGGUGACCGACCACACUGGGACUGAGACACGGCCCAGACUCCUACGGGAGGCAGCAGUGGGGAAUAUUGCACAAUGGAGGAAACUCUGAUGCAGCGACGCCGCGUGAGUGAAGAAGUAAUUCGUUAUGUAAAGCUCUAUCAGCAGGGAAGAUAGUGACGGUACCUGACUAAGAAGCUCCGGCUAAAUACGUGCCAGCCGCCGCCGUAA